AAAAUACUCCCUCCGUUCCAAAUUAAUUGACCUGGAUUUAUCUAUAUACGGAUGUAUCUAGUACUAAAACGUGUCUAGAUAUAUCCGUAUCUAGACAAAUCUGAGUCGGCUAAUUCGGGACAGAGGGAGUACGGU
rfam:Triticum aestivum genome assembly, contig: Triticum_aestivum_CS42_TGACv1_scaffold_328318_4BS